GCUGUGUCUUUUUGAGGCAGGCUAUGUUCCCUGGAGGCUUCUGAGAUAACCAGACAUUUACAAGGCUCCUACCAGGGCCUCUGCCACAUUCCAGCAAGGAUGUCUCACCAUCUGGCUUGAGUGAAAUUUCCACAGAACAGAGGUCUCAGGAUGAAGAGUGUGAUGCUGAGGGCUUGGAAGGGGGUAUGCCUUCAUCAGAGAAG
rnacentral:lncRNA from 1 species